AUAUCAAUAAGCGGAGGAAAAGAAACCAACCGGGAUUGCCUCAGUAACGGCGAGUGAAGCGGCAAGAGCUCAAAUUUGAAAUCUGGCCCCUCUGGGGUCCGAGUUGUAAUUUGCAGAGGAUGCUUCGGGUGCGGUCCCCGUCUAAGUGCCCUGGAACGGGCCGUCAUAGAGGGUGAGAAUCCCGUCUGGGAUGGGCGGCCGCGCCCGUGUGAAGCUCCUUCGACGAGUCGAGUUGUUUGGGAAUGCAGCUCUAAGCGGGUGGUAAAUUUCAUCUAAAGCUAAAUACUGGCCGGAGACCGAUAGCGCACAAGUAGAGUGAUCGAAAGAUGAAAAGCACUUUGAAAAGAGAGUUAAACAGCACGUGAAAUUGUUGAAAGGGAAGCGUUGUCCACCAGACUCGCCCGGGGGGGCUCAGCCGGCACGUGUGCCGGUGUACUCCUCUCCGGGCGGGCCAGCAUCGGUUUGGGCGGCUGGUGAAAGACCCCGGGAAUGUACCACCCUCCGGAGUGCCUUAUAGCCCGGGGUGCCAUGCAGCCAGCCUGGACCGAGGCCCGCGCUUCGGCGAGGAUGCUGGCGUAAUGGUGGUCAACGG
rnacentral:rRNA from 1 species